UUCAACACCUGUGCUGUAGACAGUCACUGUUGUACCUCUCUCCUGACUUCUGUCGUGCAUAUUGACAAUGAUUUAAACCAAAGAAUUUCAGAUCUGGAUUCAUCACUCUACAAGACCUGUUGCCAUUAAUUUGCAGUCCGGUUCUUAUAUAAUUUCCCAAACCUCAGCCACCUCUUCACUGAGACCAUUUCUCAUGAGGCUUCAGUGAACAGUACAUGGAUCAACUGCAGCGCGAGAGUCAUCUCUCAGUACGAUCCUUUGAUCUUUCACUUCUAUCUUAUAAGCCUGACAGAGAAGAGUUAAGAUGCAGCUGUGUAUCAACAGCAGAGCACACGAGGACACUACACAAGGUUCCCAGUACCGCCACAGAAAGCCGACCACCGCCACCAUGCCAGCUAUGCAUCCCGUUUCUGACACAUGCCAACUUAGCCUGCUGCACUAGUCAGCUGAACACAGAUCCAGUUUCCCCUUCUUAAUACCCCUAACAAGCCUUUUCCCUCAGCAGCCAAGUGUCAAGCCUAUCAAAGUCACCUAACGGGAUGACUCUGCCUUCCACACACAGCAACACAAAAACAAAGGGAAAGCAGGAGCACUAACCAUGACACACGCUCUAAUUUUUUGCCAUUUCUCCUCAUUUGCAAGACGUAAGAUGCAAACAGAUACCGACUAACAGUCACAAGAUGGAUACCUAAUUAUAUUUGCAUGGUUUGUUUUCAUCACUUUCCCAGCGGGAUGGUGAGAAGUAUGAGGGAAGACAUAUGGUUUGAUGCCAUUUCUUACACCAGGAUCCAGGAGCACAACUAAAUAACAGAAGCCUGACAGCUAAUACUGGUGUAGAAAGAAUAAUCUCUCCAUGUAAAGAAAAAAUGUUAUUAUAGAAUAACUUUAGAGAAGACUUUCCUUUACAGUGUAUUUGUUCUUUACUCAUAGCCAGGUCGAGAGCCAGCCAUCACAGGCAUCACAUCACAGCAAUGUUUAAAAUUUAUUUCACAUAACUUAUAUUUAUUUAGAAAUGUAUUCAAAAUUACAUUUAAAAUAAAUAAUUUAAUGUUUGGUGUGGAGAAAAAUCAAAAUAUAUAUGAAAAUUUUCAAUCAUUUGAUCAACUGGUUAACAUUGCAAUAAUGGUUACUAUACAAAUAGUGAUGAAUAUUAGUCCAGAGUCAUGUGUACCAUUGGAGUGUUGCAUGAACAACAAACCAAAACAAUGCUCAGUAUUUACAUUCAAUAUGGCUGAAAAAACACGGCUAUUUUCUGCAGUUACUGUCAGUUACAUGUUCACAGGGAGUCCCGUGGUGCUGCACUAAUAUAGAAGAUCUUUGCUUAGCUUGGAAAAAUAGUCUGUCGUUCUAUUUUAUUUUAUUUUUUUUAAAAAGCCUUCUCACUAUUCAUCACUGAUUGAAGAAAAUAAGAACAACCCCAGGUUUCUUUUAAUCUUAACUAAUAAAGACUUCAUCAUUUUUUUGCAAAUAAAAUUUUAACCAUUAAAGAAAAAAAUGUUUUCAUAACCAUCUCACGGCUGUAUCAUUAUGAACAGCAACUUUGAUAACUCUUGUUUUUUUAUUUAAGCUAACUUGCUUAUAGAUCUUUCAAAACUAACUUCAACAAUUCCUCUAAAUCAUAAAAAUAUCUAUCAUACCCCAUUCCUACAAGAUUAAAGAAGUCUUACCAUUAUUUAAAGCUACGAUUUUAAAUGCAAUUAAUUUAUUUCUAUUAACAGGAUAUGCACCACAGGUUUUCAAGGUGGCUGUAAUUAAACCGUCUUAGCUAACUAUAUGCCAUUCUACGAUCUUCCUCUUAUUUCUAAAAUCCUUGAAAGAGUGGUUUUGAAACAGUAAACAGAUUAUUUGCAGAG